UUUUAUGGAGAGUUUGAUCCUGGCUCAGGAUGAACGCUGGCGGCGUGCCUAAUACAUGCAAGUCGAGCGAACGGACGAGAAGCUUGCUUCUCUGAUGUUAGCGGCGGACGGGUGAGUAACACGUGGAUAACCUACCUAUAAGACUGGGAUAACUUCGGGAAACCGGAGCUAAUACCGGAUAAUAUUUUGAACCGCAUGGUUCAAAAGUGAAAGACGGUCUUGCUGUCACUUAUAGAUGGAUCCGCGCUGCAUUAGCUAGUUGGUAAGGUAACGGCUUACCAAGGCAACGAUGCAUAGCCGACCUGAGAGGGUGAUCGGCCACACUGGAACUGAGACACGGUCCAGACUCCUACGGGAGGCAGCAGUAGGGAAUCUUCCGCAAUGGGCGAAAGCCUGACGGAGCAACGCCGCGUGAGUGAUGAAGGUCUUCGGAUCGUAAAACUCUGUUAUUAGGGAAGAACAUAUGUGUAAGUAACUGUGCACAUCUUGACGGUACCUAAUCAGAAAGCCACGGCUAACUACGUGCCAGCAGCCGCGGUAAUACGUAGGUGGCAA
rnacentral:rRNA from 1 species